CGAGAAGAACAUUUCAAAUUGAGAUAACUAAUGUCACUUGUAUCAGCAAAAACUGGAACGUACUCGCCAAGCCCACGACUCUCUGGUUCAUUACCUCAUGUGGGAAUGUGGCUCAGAAUCCCAGCUCACCAAACCCACGCGCACCAGCAUCUUGAUGGCGACAGCAAGACGGACAACCACACACCACCCGACAAGAGAUGGCGUUGCCCGGUGGCAGAGCGUGGUGCAGGUGGGUGCAGGGGCAGGCAAUGAGAUCCACAUAAGGAUUCCAUGCUGGUGAAGGAGAGAUCAACCCCACUUCCUCUCUUCCUUCUCCUCUGCAGCAGCCUGACACACCCUUUGACAACAACAACAACAAUACCCGCACACAGUUGUUGUGUCACUAGUGCCCUGUAGAUUAGUCUAAUAAAUUAGUAGUAGUCAUCACAACCACUGACUUUUGGUUGUCUUAAUUUUAGAGUUGGGUUAGUGAUUUUUAACUUUUACCUCUCUUCUUCAAUGUGGUGAUUUAGAAAGAGUGUGCAUAUUUAGAUGUGUACAUGAUUGCAUGUCACACAAAAAUUACAUGUAACCAAAGAAUUU